rnacentral:rRNA from 1 species
AACGAACGCUGGCGGCAGGCGUAACACAUGCCAGUCGAACGAGAUCUUCGGGUCUAGUGGCAGACGGGUGUGGAACACGUGGGAACAUCCCUUUCAGUUCGGAAUAACGUUGGGAAACUAAUGCUAAUACCGGAUACGUCCCCCGGGAGCAAGAUUUAUCGCUGAAAGAUUGGCCCGCGUCUGAUUAGCUAGUUGGUGAGGUAAUGGCUCACCAAGGCUACGAGCAGUAGCUGAUCUGAGAGAAUGAUCAGCCACAUUGGAACUGAGACGCGGCCCAAACUCCUACGGGAGGCAGCAGUGGGAAAUAUUGGACAAUGGGCGCAAGCCUGAUCCAGCCAUGCCGCGUGAGUGAUGACGGCCUUCGGGUUGUAAAGCUCUUUUGUCCGGGAAGAUAAUGACUGUACCGGAAGAAUAAGCCCCGGCAAACUUCGUGCCAGCAGCCGCAGUAA